AUACAUAUUUGGCAAACUUAUUGAAAAAUAAGGACGCAAAGCUAUGGGUCUAAAGACUGUACGUCAAUGAUUGCCAGGUUGCCCUC
rnacentral:ncRNA from 1 species